rnacentral:tRNA from 1 species
GGGCGUGUAGCUCAGUUGGUAGAGCGUGUCAUUAGCAUCUUCUACUCCUACUUUGACAAGGUCUUUGGUUCGAUUCCUAACUCGUCCA